GGACAGACUGGCAGGAGCUGCACCAUGAAGGGACUUUCAUGCCAUGUUGGAGAAUCUGGAUUUUAUGGAUGAGGAAGUUGAGACCCAGGGAGGCAUGUGGUUUGCUCAUUAUGGCACAAAGAGCAAAGUCAGAUUCCAAGAGCUCAAGAAAGGGCACAAAAAAAAGGCAGGAAGAUGGUACAAGGGGCCUUCCAGACAGAGGAAGAAGAGAAGGCAAAGAAGAGGCAAGCGGCAGCCGAGGCCAAUUGAUUAUCUGAAGAAAUUCGGAGCUAGCGGUAGAACAGCUGCACCUGCCCCCUCUCCCACCCCUAGGCCCUGAGGGAUCCCUGAGGGGAGGGGCCCUGUAGCCCCUUCUGCUUCCAGGGGGGCAGAGCGACAAGAGAGGGAGGCAGGGAGCUCGCAGGACUGUGGCUGCUGCACAGGGGAAGGCACAAAGCACUGGGAGCCAGGGAGGCAAGACAUGGUUUCUAAUCCCUGUCCCAUCACCUUUGUGGACAGCAGUUACCUGCAGUUACCUGCCUUUAAAACAAACAUGUUGGAUUCAGCGAUUUCUGUGCUCCCUUCCAACUCUUGCCCUUUGGAGUCCUCAGAUUCUCCCUGGCUUCAGUUCAGCCCUCCCUCUUGCCAGGCUCUGGGCAGAGCAUUUCAUCUAAUUCAGAUUGAGAAGGAAAGAGGUUAAAUCCUUCCUGUAUGGGAGUUCCUCCCUAAGUCUAACUCAAACCUCUCUUGCUGCUGAUGUCAUUCUUUGCUCAUCAG
rnacentral:lncRNA from 1 species